UACGUAGGGGCCAAGCGUUGUCCGGAUUUAUUGGGCGUAAAGAGCUCGUAGGCGGUUUGGUAAGUCGGCGGUGAAAUCUCCACGCUCAACGUGGAGGCGUCCGUCGAUACUGCUGUGACUCGAGUCCGGUAGGGGAGUGUGGAAUUCCCGGUGUAGCGGUGAAAUGCGCAGAGAUCGGGAGGAACACCCGUAGCGAAGGCGGCACUCUGGGCCGGUACUGACGCUGAGGAGCGAAAGCGUGGGGAGCAAACAGG
rnacentral:rRNA from 1 species